rnacentral:rRNA from 1 species
AUUGAACGCUGGCGGCAUGCCUUACACAUGCAAGUCGAACGGUAACAGGUCUUCGGAUGCUGAUGAGUGGCGAACGGGUGAGUAAUACAUCGGAACGUGCCCGAGAGUGGGGGAUAACGAGGCGAAAGCUUUGCUAAUACCGCAUACGAUCUCAGGAUGAAAGCAGGGGACCGCAAGGCCUUGCGCUCACGGAGCGGCCGAUGGCAGAUUAGGUAGUUGGUGGGAUAAAAGCUUACCAAGCCGACGAUCUGUAGCUGGUCUGAGAGGACGACCAGCCACACUGGGACUGAGACACGGCCCAGACUCCUACGGGAGGCAGCGGUGGGGAAUUUUGGACAAUGGGCGCAAGCCUGAUCCAGCCAUGCCGCGUGCAGGAUGAAGGCCUUCGGGUUGUAAACUGCUUUUGUACGGAACGAAAAGACUCUGGUUAAUACCUGGGGUCCAUGACGGUACCGUAAGAAUAAGCACCGGCUAACUACGUGCCAGCAGCCGCGGUAACAC